rnacentral:rRNA from 1 species
UGGGGAAUUUUGGACAAUGGGGGAAACCCUGAUCCAGCAACGCCGCGUGAAGGAUGAAGGUCUUCGGAUUGUAAACUUCUUUUGUAGGGGAAGAAUAGCUCCGUGAAGAACGGAGAAUGACGGUACCCUGCGAAUAAGCCACGGCUAACUUCGUGCCAGCAGCCGCGGUAAUACGAAGGUGGCAAGCGUUACUCGGAAUUACUAGGCGUAAAGCGUAGGUAGGUGGUUCGGUAAGUCCAUAAUGAAAUCUCCCGGCUUAACUGGGAGGGGUUUAUGGAUACUGCAGAACUCGAGUGUGGGAGAGGAUGCUGGAAUUCCUGGUGUAGCGGUGAAAUGCGUAGAUAUCAGGAGGAACACCAAUGGCGAAGGCAGGCAUCUGGCCCAAUACUGACACUGAGCUACGAAAGCUAGGGGAGCAAACAGG